AUUGAACGCUGGCGGCAGGCCUAACACAUGCAAGUCGAACGAGUGGCGGACGGGUGAGUAAUGUCUGGGAAACUGCCUGAUGGAGGGGGAUAACUACUGGAAACGGUAGCUAAUACCGCAUACCAUCGGAUGUGCCCAGCUGGGAUUAGCUAGUAGGUGGGGUAAAGGCUCACCUAGGCGACGAUCCCUAGCUGGUCUGAGGGGAUGACCAGCAAAAAGGGAACUGAGAAACGGUCCGGACUCCAACGGGAGUCAGAGGUGGGGAAUAUGGCAAAAUGGGGGCAAGCCUGAUGAAGACAGGCCGCGUGUAUGAAGAAGGCUUUCGGGUUGUAAAGUACUUUCAGCGGGGAGGCGUUACCCGCAGAAGAAGCACCGGCUAACUCCGUGCCAGCAGCCGCGGUAAUUC
rnacentral:rRNA from 1 species